AAAUUGAAGAGUUUGAUCAUGGCUCAGAUUGAACGCUGGCGGCAGGCCUAACACAUGCAAGUCGAACGGUAACAGGAAGCAGCUUGCUGCUUUGCUGACGAGUGGCGGACGGGUGAGUAAUGUCUGGGAAACUGCCUGAUGGAGGGGGAUAACUACUGGAAACGGUGGCUAAUACCGCAUAACGUCGCAAGACCAAAGAGGGGGACCUUCGGGCCUCUUGCCAUCAGAUGUGCCCAGAUGGGAUUAGCUUGUUGGUGAGGUAACGGCUCACCAAGGCGACGAUCCCUAGCUGGUCUGAGAGGAUGACCAGCCACACUGGAACUGAGACACGGUCCAGACUACUACGGGAGGCAGCAGUGGGGAAUAUUGCACAAUGGGCGCAAGCCUGAUGCAGCCAUGCCGCGUGUAUGAAGAAGGCCUUCGGGUUGUAAAGUACUUUCAGCGGGGAGGAAGGUGUUG
rnacentral:rRNA from 1 species